GUGUGGAGUGACUCGGCAUGUGUGUGGAGUGACUCGGCAUGUGUGUGGAGUGACUCGGCAUGUGUGUCGAGUGACUCUGCAUGUGUGUCGAGUGACUCUGCAUGUGUGUCGAGUGACUCUGCAUGUGUGUAGAGUGACUGCAUGUGUGGAGUGACUCUGCAUGUGUGUCGAGUGACUCUGCAUGUGUGUCGAGUGACUCUGCAUGUGUGUGGAGUGACUCUGCAUGUUUGUAGAUUCUGUCCCUGGCGGAGUGUUUAAAGAACAUAUUUAUUGGCUGUGGGAACAUCAACGUGCAGUUUUUCUCUAACUUCUGUCUCAUAAAUCAUGAUUUCAGAGGUUUUUGUACUUUAAGGUUCUGCAGUGUUCUCAUGAUGUGAAGAUAUUUAUGUGAAAUGUGAUGCAGGAAGCACAUUAAAUGCUAUAAACUUUGAUGAUCUGGUUUGUAUGAUUGUGCUUCUGUAGCUCAGUAGAACCUGUUUGUUCAGACUUCAUGAGGUGGAUUUGCAUCCUGACUGGACCACAGAACUGGACUCUGGGUUCUGAUGUCUAAAGACUUUUUUUGUGUGGGGAUGUGAGAGAAGAAAUAAAAUGGUCUCUGUGUGUAA